UGGGUUGUGGCUCAGUGGUAGAGCGCUUGCCUAGCACACAUGAGGCACUGGGUUCAAUCCUCAGCACCACAU
rnacentral:tRNA from 2 species